AGUGAACGCUGGCGGUAGGCCUAACACAUGCAAGUCGAACGGCAGCACAGUAAGAGCUUGCUCUUACGGGUGGCGAGUGGCGGACGGGUGAGGAAUACAUCGGAAUCUACUUUUUCGUGGGGGAUAACGUAGGGAAACUUACGCUAAUACCGCAUACGACCUACGGGUGAAAGCAGGGGAUCUUCGGACCUUGCGCGAUUGAAUGAGCCGAUGUCGGAUUAGCUAGUUGGCGGGGUAAAGGCCCACCAAGGCGACGAUCCGUAGCUGGUCUGAGAGGAUGAUCGGCGACACUGGAACUGAGACACGGUCCAGACUCCUACGGGAGGCAGCAGUGGGGAAUAUUGGACAAAGGGCGCAAGCCUGAUCCAGCCAGACCGCGUGGGUGAAGAAGGCCUUCGGGUUGUAAAGCCCUUUUGUUGGGAAAGAAAAGCAGCAGGUUAAUACCCCGCUGUUCUGACGGUACCCAAAGAAUAAGCACCGGCUAACUUCGUG
rnacentral:rRNA from 1 species